GGUUCGAUGCGGGUCUCGCGGCCACCUCCCACCCUUGUCUCUAUACACCUGUUGCUUUGGCGGGCCCACCGGGGCCACCUGGUCGCCGGGGGACGCACGUCUCCGGGCCCGCGCCCGCCGAAGCGCUCUGUGAACCCUGAUGAAGAUGGGCUGUCUGAGUACUGUGAAAAUUGUCAAAACUUUCAACAAUGGAUCUCUUGGUUCCGGCAUCGAUGAAGAACGCAGCGAAAUGCGAUAAGUAAUGUGAAUUGCAGAAUUCCGUGAAUCAUCGAAUCUUUGAACGCACAUUGCGCCCCCUGGCAUUCCGGGGGGCAUGCCUGUCCGAGCGUCAUUUCUGCCCUCAAGCACGGCUUGUGUGUUGGGUGUGGUCCCCCCGGGGACCUGCCCGAAAGGCAGCGGCGACGUCCGUCUGGUCCUCGAGCGUAUGGGGCUCUGUCACUCGCUCGGGAAGGACCUGCGGGGGUUGGUCACCACCAUGUUUUACCACGGUUGACCUCGGAUCAGGUAGGAGUUACCCGCUGAACUUAAGCAUAUCAAUAGCCGGAGGAAGAACUUAAGCAUAUCAAUAAGCCGGAGGAAGAGUAGAUUACGCAGUCAGUUUUCUGUCUAUCUCUCUGGUGUUCGCUACGAAUUACUAUAGUUUUGUUUUCAACAUUUGACCUCAAAUCAGGUAGGACUACCCGCUGAACUUAAGCAUAUCAAUAAGCGGAGGAUGGUU
rnacentral:rRNA from 1 species